rnacentral:tRNA from 1 species
GGGCGUAGCUCAGUCGGCAGAGCACCGACCUUCCAAGCCGGCAGCGCGGGUUCGAUCCCCGCCUCCC